UGUGGCACAACUAUUUCUUAUGUGGAC
rnacentral:piRNA from 1 species